UGGUUUCAUUGAUAUGGCCCAAUUGUGAUC
rnacentral:piRNA from 1 species